ensembl:lincRNA
CCAGCACCAUUUAUUGGAUAAUACUUCCAUCCCAAUUGGUUUGUAAUGCCUCUUAGUCACAUGUUAAAUUCCUUCGUAAGCUUAGGAGUUCUGUUGGAAAAUAGAAAUUUACUUGAAAAAUAGUGGGGUGCCUGGGUGGCUCAGUGGGUUAAGCCGCUGCCUUCGGCUCAGGUCAUGAUCUCAGGGUCCUGGGAUCAAGUCCCUCGUCGGGCUCUCUGCUUAGCAGGGAGCCUGCAUCCCUCUCUCUCUCUCUCUGCCUGCCUCUCUGUCUACUUGUGAUCUCUCUCUGUCAAAUAAAUAAAUAAAAUCUUAAAAAAAAAAAAAGAAAAGUGGUACAUUGCUCCAGAAAAUACAGUUAAAAUCUAUAACUGAAAUGAAAGUAGAACUAAUGAGACUUAAGCUUCAGGGCCUUUCACUACAUGAGUUUUUUAAUUCUCUAUUCUUAAUUUUGAAUUUUUUUAAAAAGAAGACCCCCCAAGAUUGUAUAUAUCUACAAACCCUGGAUCUGCUCACUUUCUGCUUACAAACCCAUCACCGUGGCAAGCCAUGCAGCAAAGCAGGGCUUGGACCCAUGACCCCAGGAUCAAGAGUCACAUGUUCCUCCGACUGAGCCGGCCAAACAUCUCUCAUUUGUAAAUUAUACAUUUUUCUUUUUUCCUUUCUUUUUUUUUUUUUGAGAGAGAGAGAGCACCCAUGAGUGGUAAGAGGAGACACAAAGGGAAAGGGAGAGAGAGAAUCCUAAGCAGACUCCACAUCUAGCAGAAAGCCUCAUACAGGGCUCAGUCUCACAACUCUGAGAUCAUGAUCUGAGCCAAAAUUAAGAGUCAGACACUUAAUUGGCUGAGCCACCCAAGUGUCCCCCACCUCACACUUUAGAAGGCAUGACCUGUCAGAGAGUUGCUUGUUAGCCCUCUUUGUAGCAGGGCUAAGUGCUCCCAAGCUAGCCUACUCACCAGCUGUACUUUGAAUUAGGAGCUGGUAAGGCAGAGAAGCAGCAGACACAGGGCCUCGUCCAUGGCAGUGGCACAUCUGCAGCAUUGCUUGUCUGGCAGCAAGGCUGGAGGCAGGGUCAAUUGCUGGCUUUGAGGGCUCAGAGGUGGCUGCAGCUGCAGCCUUCUUGGACUAGUUCUGGGGCAUGAUGAAGACAUUGUUUUUGACUGCAUACUCUCUGAACCUGCUUAUCUAGUCUUCUUGUCAAGACUGUCAACUACUGAGUAGCCUUUCAGUGCAUUUAUUUUCUGCUUAAGUUGUCCAGGCUUUGUUUCUGCUGCUGCUUACAAUUAAGAACCUGAUGCUGGAAAGGAAAAAAGACAAGGAUGUAGGAGCACCUUGCCUUGACGGUACAGAGGGAGGAGAGAUGCCCCAGUAAGGGAGGAAAUCGUAACCCUGAAAUGCAUCUUGAUACCUUGCUAUGAUGUUUCUGAUAUCAAACAUAUACCUUCUUGUUAAUUUUCAAACUUCACCUCUCAGGGACUUUGUCAACUUAUUCAUACAUCACCCUUUUAUGGAGAGCCUACUAUAUGCCAGGUACUAUUUUCAGCACUGGUUGUCAACAGUGAACAAAACUCAAGCAAUAGUUUCCACAGUGACACUUGUUAGAAUGAAGGAAGCAAAUGGGAUAGCACUUCUGCAUGCCCAGCAAUAACCUGGGUCCUUCCACUGCAUCAUGCCGUGAUUUAUAGGAACAUAGCAGUCUGUGGCAGCAGUAGCAAUGAAUGGGCAGGAUUGACUCCUGCCUUAAUAGAACUUGAAUAUAUAUCUUAUAGAAGAUAUUUCUUAUGGUUUCUAUAGAACUUUUUCCCCUGAGAAGGAAAAAAUAAUGCAAUAUUCUUUCCCCACUAUUCUCAUAUUGCACCCCCCGUUCACUUUUCCAGAUGUUUCUACAUUACUAUUAAAAGAGAAGGUAUAAUACACAGGAAGGCUGGAAGAUAUAUUGACUAUUUAAAAAAUGUAUUUAGGAGCAGUUCAUCUCUUAAUUUAUCUAAAGUCUUUUCCUCUUUUCACACAAGCAAAAUGUAAUUCACACAAAAUAUAAGCAUAAUAAAGAAACCAAAUAUUUUGGAUUUAUUUUGCAUCACAUAAUGUGUACUUGUAUUUUUAAAAAGAGUUUAUUUAUUUGAGAGAGAGAGAGGGUGUGCAUGUGCACAAGUAGGGGGUGGUUGUGGGAACAGGGGGAGAGAGAGAGAGAGAGAAGCAGACUCCAUGCUGAGCAGGGAGUCUAACGUGGGCUCGAUCCCAGGACUCUGGGAUUGUGAACUGAACUGAAAGCAGACGCUUAACUGAUUGAGCCACCCAGGCUCCCCUCUACUUAUAUAUUUUUUUUUUAAAAGAAAAUUGCUUACUUGGCAAAUUUUUAAACUUUGCAAAAGCAUGUUGUUUACAUCUUGUUAUGUCUAAGUUGUGCAAAAUAAAUGAAGAAACUAGCUUUCCAAGAUUUUCAGAAGGUAGAACUAACUGCAUGAAGUAGUAGCAUAGUUAAAUAGGAAAGGUAC